rnacentral:rRNA from 1 species
UACGUAGGGGGCAAGCGUUGUCCGGAUUUAUUGGGCGUAAAGAGCGUGUAGGCGGUUAGGUAUGUUCGUUGUGAAAACUCGAGGCUCAACCUCGAGACGCCGAUGGAAACCAUCUAACUAGAGUCCGGAAGAGGAGAGUGGAAUUCCUGGUGUAGCGGUGAAAUGCGCAGAUAUCAGGAAGAACACCCGUGGCUAAGGCGGCUCUCUAGUACGGUACUGACGCUGAGACGCGAAAGCGUGGGGAGCGAACAGG